GGCUGGAUAGCUCAGGUGGCUAGAGCGGUCGGUUCAUACCCGGCUUGUCGGGGGUUCAAGUCCCUCUCCAGCUACCA
rnacentral:tRNA from 1 species